GUCCUGAAGCUCCCGAACACAGUGAUUGGGUGUUCACGCGCAUGUGUGGGAUGUGCCACACUCUGGCUUUGUUACGACGUUGGCAUAUUAUCCUGGACCUGAUC
ensembl:snoRNA